UGGGGAAUUUUGCACAAUGGGGGAAACCCUGAUGCAGCCACGCCGCGUGAUUUAGAAGGCCUUCGGGUUGUAAAAAUCUUUUGUAUGGGAAGAAAAUGACAGUACCAUACGAAUAAGGACCGGCUAAAUACGUGCCAGCAGCCGCGGUAAUACGUAUGGGGCGAGCGUUGUCCGGAAUUAUUGGGCGUAAAGGGUACGUAGGCGGUCUAUUAAGUCAGGUGUGAAAGCGUGAGGCUUAACCUCAUUAAGCACUUGAAACUGAUAGACUUGAGUGAAGGAGAGGAAAGUGGAAUUCCUAGUGUAGCGGUGAAAUGCGUAGAUAUUAGGAGGAAUACCGGUGGCGAAGGCGACUUUCUGGACUGUUACUGACGCUCAGGUACGAAAGCGUGGGGAGCAAACAGG
rnacentral:rRNA from 1 species